rnacentral:rRNA from 1 species
GGUGCUUACCAUGCAGUCGAACGGAAAGGCCCUUCGGGGUACUCGAGUGGCGAACGGGUGAGUAACACGUGGGUGAUCUGCCCUGCACUUUGGGAUAAGCCUGGGAAACUGGGUCUAAUACCGAAUAGGACCACGCGCUUCAUGGUGUGUGGUGGAAAGCUUUUGCGGUGUGGGAUGGGCCCGCGGCCUAUCAGCUUGUUGGUGGGGUAAUGGCCUACCAAGGCGACGACGGGUAGCCGGCCUGAGAGGGUGACCGGCCACACUGGGACUGAGAUACGGCCCAGACUCCUACGGGAGGCAGCAGUGGGGAAUAUUGCACAAUGGGCGCAAGCCUGAUGCAGCGACGCCGCGUGAGGGAUGACGGCCUUCGGGUUGUAAACCUCUUUCAAUAGGGACGAAGCGCAAGUGACGGUACCUAUAGAAGAAGCACCGGCCAACUACGUGCCAGCAGCCGCGGUAAUACGUAGGGUGCGAGCGUUGUCCGGAAUUACUGGGCGUAAAGAGCUCGUAGGUGGUUUGUCGCGUUGUUCGUGAAAACUCACAGCUUAACUGUGGGCGUGCGGGCGAUACGGGCAGACUAGAGUACUGCAGGGGAGACUGGAAUUCCUGGUGUAGCGGUGGAAUGCGCAGAUAUCAGGAGGAACACCGGUGGCGAAGGCGGGUCUCUGGGCAGUAACUGACGCUGAGGAGCGAAAGCGUGGGGAGCGAACAGGAUUAGAUACCCUGGUAGUCCACGCCGUAAACGGUGGGUACUAGGUGUGGGUUCCUUCCUUGGGAUCCGUGCCGUAGCUAACGCAUUAAGUACCCCGCCUGGGGAGUACGGCCGCAAGGCUAAAACUCAAAGGAAUUGACGGGGGCCCGCACAAGCGGCGGAGCAUGUGGAUUAAUUCGAUGCAACGCGAAGAACCUUACCUGGGUUUGACAUGCACAGGACGCCGGCAGAGAUGUCGGUUCCCUUGUGGCCUGUGUGCAGGUGGUGCAUGGCUGUCGUCAGCUCGUGUCGUGAGAUGUUGGGUUAAGUCCCGCAACGAGCGCAACCCUUGUCCUAUGUUGCCAGCGGGUUAUGCCGGGGACUCGUAGGAGACUGCCGGGGUCAACUCGGAGGAAGGUGGGGAUGACGUCAAGUCAUCAUGCCCCUUAUGUCCAGGGCUUCACACAUGCUACAAUGGCCGGUACAAAGGGCUGCGAUGCCGUGAGGUGGAGCGAAUCCUUUCAAAGCCGGUCUCAGUUCGGAUCGGGGUCUGCAACUCGACCCCGUGAAGUCGGAGUCGCUAGUAAUCGCAGAUCAGCAACGCUGCGGUGAAUACGUUCCCGGGCCUUGUACACACCGCCCGUCACGUCAUGAAAGUCGGUAACACCCGAAGCCGGUGGCCUAACCCUUGUGGAGGGAGCCGUCGAAGG